rnacentral:rRNA from 1 species
GGGUUGUGAGGUUAAGUGACUAAGCGUACACGGUGGAUGCCUAGGCAGUCAGAGGCGAUGAAGGGCGUGCUAAUCUGCGAAAAGCGUCGGUAAGGUGAUAUGAACCGUUAUAACCGGCGAUACCCGAAUGGGGAAACCCAGUGUGUUUCGACACACUAUCAUGUCAUGAAUACAUAGUGGCAUGAGGCGAACCGGGGGAACUGAAACAUCUAAGUACCCCGAGGAAAAGAAAUCAACC